GCUGCCGUGGCGCAACUGGUUAGCGCGUGUGGCUGUUAACCACAAGGUUGGUGGUUCGAGUCCACCCGGCAGCG